UUGUCGCCACCACGGCACCGCCACCUAUACAACCGAACACCAUUCUAAAUACCUUCUCUCGUUGAAUAAUACCCAGGAGAAACCAUUAUAAUCCUAGUUCUAGCAAACCGUUGCCGAAAUCGAAACCCAAAAUCAUGUACACCAUCUUUUCUCUCUCCUCACCGACGCAGACCACCGCCACCACUGCUGCCCAGAAUCACCGUCGCCACCUUGCUGCACCCACCUGAAUCCCUCCCUGUGACACCCUUACCCUUGUGUCGCUUGCUACCUCACGCAAACCUCUGCCCAGCUCCUCCUCCUUCUUCGUACUUCUCUGUUUUUAGACCAAAAAUGCUACUUUUCCAAUUUCCUGAUUUUGUUUAGAACCAGGAGACAUAAAAGUCAAAAGUCAACCAUUAGGAACUUUUCUUAACCAAUGAGCUAAAAGAUCGUUCGGAGCUCAGGAAGAACGAUCCAUCGAACGGGAAGUAUAAAAUUUCGGUUGAGGUACGAAGAAGAUCAUGGGAUGCCUUAGAGUGAGGAUGCAACCAUCAAAUUCACGAUUGAUGUUUAAUAAAGAUAAUCUUGUAUCACUAGUAAUAAUGGAUGAACUAAUUAAACUCUAAGUCAAAUUUCAAUUAUUGAGUUGGAUUUUAAUAUUUAUGUUUAAUCAAUGUUAGGAAUAU